GACGAACGCUGGCGGCAUGCCUAAUACAUGCAAGUCGAGCGAACAGAUGAAGUGCUUGCACUUCUGGCGUUAGCGGCGAACGGGUGAGUAACACCUAAGGAAUCUACCUAUAAGCGGGGGAUAACAUUCGGAAACGGGUGCUAAUACCGCAUAAUAUCUUCUUCCGCAUGGAAGAAGAUUGAAAGACGGCUCUGCUGUCACUUAUAGAUGACCUUGCGGUGCAUUAGUUAGUUGGUGGGGUAACGGCCUACCAAGACGAUGAUGCAUAGCCGACCAGAGAGGGUGAUCGGCCACAUUGGGACUGGGACACGGCCCAAACUCCUACGGGGGGCAGCAGUAGGGAAUCUUCCGCAAUGGGCGAAAGCCUGACGGAGCAAUGCCGCGUGAGUGAAGAAGGCCUUCGGGUCGUAAAACUCUGUUAUAAGAGAAGAACAAAUUGUAGAGUAACUGCUACAGUCUUGACGGUAUCUUAUCAGAAAGCCACGGCUAACUACGUGCCAGCAGCCGCCGCAG
rnacentral:rRNA from 1 species